UAAAGAUUUGGUCCUAAUCUUACUAUUAAUUAUGGUUAUAUUUACACAUGCAAGUAUCUGCACCCCGGUGAAAAUGCCCUAAAUUUACUAAUAAUAAACUAAGGAGCUGAUAUCAGGCACACGCCCAUUACAUCUUGCUAAGCCACACCCACAAGGGGGUACAGCAGUGAUAAACAUUGAAAAAUAAGCGACAGCUUGAAUCAGUAAUAAUCUAAAGAGUUGGUCAAUCUCGUGCCAGCCACCGCGGUUAUACGAGAAACCCAAAUUAAUUAAUCACGGCCCAAAGAGCGGUUAAAUGAAAAUUCAUGUAAUAGUUUAAAAAAUUAACCAAGCCGUUAUACGCAGUAGUUAAAUCUAAAAUCGACAACGAAAGUAAUACUAACAAAAAAAAAUAUUGAAGCCGCGACAGCUAUGAUACAAACUGGGAUUAGAUACCCCACUAUGCUUAGCCAUAAACUUUGACUACUCCGCCGGAGUACUACGAGCAACAGCUUAAAACUCAAAGGACUUGGCGGUGCUCUACACCCACCUAGAGGAGCCUGUUCUAUAAUUGAUAAUCCCCAAUAAACCUCACCACCCAUUGCAAUACAGCCUAUAUACCGCCGCCGUCAGCUUACCCUUUAAAGGAGAAUAAGUAAGCAAAAUGAUAAACAUAAAAACGUCAGGUCAAGGUGUAGCAUAUUGGGUGGGAAGAAAUGGGCUACAUUUUCUUAAAGAAAAAACGAAAAACUAAAUGAAAAAGGGUUAGAAGGAGGAUUUAGCAGUAAAAAGAAACAAGAGUGUUCUUUUUAAAUUCGGCUAUAGAGCGCGCACACACCGCCCGUCACCCUCUUCAAUAUAUAUCUAAAGUAAUUAACAAAUCUACAAAACAAAGAAGAGGAAAGUCGUAACAUGGUAAGUUUACCGGAAGGUGAACUUGGAUU
rnacentral:ncRNA from 1 species